rnacentral:rRNA from 1 species
AUGUUUAGGCAUGCGCUGAAUGCUGUUGCUUUCAUCAGCGAGGAGAAAAUCGCCGCCAAAGUGGAGCACUUGAAGAAAACGUUCAGGUGGUCGGAUGCUGAGGUGGGCAUUGCUAUUUCUAAGGCUCCAAAUGUGCUGAACAAGACUAAGGAGUUUCUGCAGAGAAGGUCAGAGUUCCUCAUCUCUGAUUUGGGGUUGGAGCCCGCAUACAUUGCUCAUCGCCCCGUAAUGCUCUCGUACAUCCUGGAGGGCCGGCUAAGGCCCCGGAGCUACGUUGUGAAGUUUCUUAAGGCAAAUGGAUUGCUAGAUCCCGACCGGGACUUGUAUUCCGUGCUUGUACUGACUGAGAAGGUAUUCAUGGAGAAGUACAUAUGCCCUCACAAGGAAGCUGCACCAUGCCUCGCUGGAGACUAUGCUGAUGCUUGCAAAGGGCUAAUGCCGACUAAUUUCAGAUUUACAUGA